GACAGAGGGGGCAAGCGUUGUCCGGACUGACUGGGCGUAAAGCGCACGUAGGCGGACUACUAAGUCAGGGGUGAAAUCCCGGGGCUCAACCCCGGAACUGCCUUUGAUACUGAUAGACUCGAGUCCGGAAGAGGUGAGUGGAAUUCCGAGUGUAGAGGUGAAAUUCGUAGGUAUUCGGAGGAACACCAGUGGCGAAGGCGGCUCACUGGUCCGGUACUGACGCUGAGGUGCGAAAGCGUGGGGAGCAAACAGG
rnacentral:rRNA from 1 species